AGCCAUAUCACGUUGAAACACGUACGAUCACCGAAGUUAAGCAACGUCGAGCCUGGUCAGUACCUACAUGGGCGAUCGCUUGGGAAUACCAGUUAUUGUAAG